rnacentral:rRNA from 1 species
AAACCAACAGGGAUUGCCUUAGUAACUGCGAGUGAAGCGGCAAGAGCUCAAAUUUGAAAUCUGGCAUCCGCCCGAAUUGUAAUUUGUAGAAGCAACUUUUGAAAUAGUCCUUGCAUAUGUUCCUUGGAACAGGACAUCAUAGAGGGUGAGAAUCCCGUUCAUGGUGGGGAGUCUAUUUCUUUGUAAAGUGCUUUCGACGAGUCGAGUUGUUUGGGAAUGCAGCUCUAAGUGGGUGGUAAAUUCCAUCUAAAGCUAAAUAUUGGCGAGAGACCGAUAGCGAACAAGUACAGUGAUGGAAAGAUGAAAAGUACUCCGAAAGGAGAGUGAAAUAGGACGUGAAAUUGUUGAAAGGGAAGUGCUUGAGAUCAGAGAUAGAGAUUAGUGAUCAGCUUUCUUUUUAGUUUGUGCACUUGCUAUUUUCUAGGCCAGCAUCAGUUUGGGAGGUAGGAUAAUUGCAUAGGAAUGUGGCUGUCUCGGCAGUGUUAUAGCCUUUGUCGAUACUACUUGCUAGACUGAGGACCGCGCGAUUUCGCUAGGAUGCUGGCAUAAUGAUCUUAAGCAGC